UUAGUAUUUAUUUUUUAUAAAAUUUUAAACCCUAAUUCCAAAACCUCACAUCUUAACUCUAAACCCUAAGGUUUGGAUUAAUUAACCCAAGGGGUAUAAGUGUAUAUUUACCUCUUUAAUGAAACCUAUUUUUGUGACUUUGAGCCUUGAAUGCUACUUUGAGAACAAAAACUUGGUUUGGUGCUAUCUUAGUCUUUUUCUCUUUAUUUAUAUAUAUAAUCAAGAUUCAUGGGUCAUAUACCUUUUGGGAUAAACGAAGAACUAUAAAUACUUUCAGUCACAAGUUAUUGGGUCUAAUCACGUACCAGUGCAAUACAAAAAUGCAAUAAUCUAAGUUAAUUACGUAAUAUCAAUCUAAAAUAAGAAAUGUGGCUUUCCAUUAUUAUCUAUCUCCAUAAGACAUGAUCAGAUCAUGCAUGCUACUUGAAUUUGAAACUGAGAUCCUGUCUCUAAUUAAUUAUUUUGCAUUGGAUGUAAAAUAGUCGUUAAUAAUGAUGAGUUCGUCAGUGAUAUCUAUAUAUAUAAAGUAGAAGGUGUAUUAGAAAACAAAAUAUAUGUAACAUUUUGAUCCAAUAUACAUGUCUCCAUAUAUCAUUUAAUUCAUUUCAAUUAUUAUUGACUAUAUUUAUUCGUUGAACUGAGAAUAUUACCUACAAGUACAACUUACAAAACAUAUAUAACAAAAAACAAAUCCUCUAUAUACUAAAGCACAAGUCACUUCACCAAUUAAAUUCUGACACAUGGAAUAUGUUUAAAAAAAAUAAUAAUGUCAAUUCAAAAAUUAAUUUGCGAUUCCAAUUUUUCUCAACAUCCGAUAACUAAGUCCCUAUAAAAAAAUCAGAGUAUCAACACCAGUUACACCACGUUCAGAAAAACCAUCAACACCACGUUCAAGAGUAAUGAUCAUGAUUCAAAACUGUUGUAUCUUCCAUAUUUCAUCAAUUAAUUUUAGUUUUUGUUUGAUCUCUUCUCUCUUACGUUUUCUCAUUCUUCUUCUCCAUAGCUUCAUUUUUUAAAGGCAAAAAUCAAAAUUACAGACUAAAAAGGACGAAGAAAACACAUAUACAGACACAGAAAGAGGGAUGCUUGAGAUGAAAAACCAGCCAAGGUAAAAGACAACUUAGACAAGAUAGCAAGAUAAUUUUAUAUUCAUCGCUUCGUAUUCUUCGUUUUUUUGAAUGAGAUUUUUGACUCAUGCAAAAUAAAAUCCAUACAGGUUUAUGAUUACUCUUAAUUUAGAUUCAAUUUCCUUCUAUUCUCAAUCAAUAAUCUAUUAAAUUUUUGUUUUUGCAUAUUCUAGAUAAGAAAUAGCCUUUUGAGUUUUUCAUAACUUAUUUCUUCAAUAAAAGAAUAGAAAAUCAAAGCUUUGUCAUUAACGAAGAUAACAAAAUAUUAUUUUAAAACAAAAGUGGAGAUAACUAAAUAUUAAAACUAAAGUUAUUUGAUCCAUAUAGUGUAUUGAGAAAAGAGACGGAAGAAUACAAAGUUAUGAUUUGGUGGAAAUUUUUGGCAAAUGAAAGUUAGAAAUCAAGGUUAGUUAAACUAUUUUUUGUUGACGAAAAAAACUAUUUUUUUAAGGUUAGUGAAACUAAAAAGAGCCAAAUUCUUCAAUGCUCAAAUUAUAAUUCAUGAUGUUAAAUUUCUUUUUUAAAAUAAUUUUCUCUUCUAAUAAACAUAAUUUAAGUUUCUGCAUAAACAUGGCACUGAAUUUUUUCUGUAGAAUACCUUAUAUAGGCUGUAGUAUUCUACAUAUAAAGUCAUCUUUAUGCUACUUUUCUGCUUCUACUUAAACAUUUAAACAUGGCAUUGAAUUCGUCGCUGAUCAGUAUGUUGCUUGACUUGCUGUCUAUGUGAACUACUUUUGGCUCAAUUGCUUCAUGCAGAUAAGCAAGACUACACAGACGCACAGGAUGAUUAGUAUGCAGGGCCGAGCACAGCCCAGUAAGGUUACGGAUGUGUAAAGAUAAUUUUCUCUUCCCAAAUUACGUUUACUCACUAUGGUCUACAUAUAAAGUCAUCUUUAGAAAUUGGAAAACUCAUAUGGUCAAAAAAGAAAACUGUAAUAAACUUUAAAAAAUAUAUGUCAAUAACAUACUCACUAUGGACUAAAUCAAUUUCUUUUUUUUUGAAAAGAAAUCAAUUUCUUUUUUGAACUAAAUCAAUUUCAAUCUGCUGAAAAUUGUUUAUUACUUGGUGUGAUAAUUCAAAGAAAGAAAGUAAUAUUAACCUCUUUUUCAUUAUAAAUUUUAUAAAUACAUUAUAUAUAUAUGUAUAUAUAUUUAAAAUAUAUUCACAUAAAAUAACGUCCGUGCUAAGCACGGGAGAUAAUACUAGUUAAGAAUAUAAAUCGUAAGUAUUGAUAAAAAAAACUAUUAUGUUGUAACUUGUAACCAAUGAUAAAAAAAAAUGUUUAGCCGUUUCGGCAACCAUCUUUCAUCUUUGUCAAUUUCUUCAAUAGAGAAACGAAAUCAAAGUCGUGAUUCACCAAAAUCUUUCUCACGGGGAUUCGAAGAUGACGACGGAUAAAUAGACAUCAUACACUAAACCGCAAAUCGUAGGAUAAAGAAAAUCGUUUGAUCGUGACAGACCAACGAAAAGUUGCAACCCGGUUUAGUUUUUGGUGUUUUCUUUUAUUGGACUUUCUUAUGUGAGCCAAUUAAAGGCCCAUUAUAGUUCAAACUCUAAAAACUAUCCGUUAAGAAACGCGUGCUCUGCAAAGAAGCAUAAAUACAUAACAGAUACAAAAGCUUAUCGACGGAUCUGAGUUAUCAAAAGGGGUUUUGAUUCUCCCACUUCUUCUAUUUUAGUUGAAUCGUCCAUCUCUACUCUUCGAUGAUCAGUAAGUCUUUUAUUUCUCUACAUCAAUUCGUAAAUUUGUUUUACAAUUUCUAAGUUUGCGUAAUCGCGAUUUUUUUAGGGUUCAUAUUUGAUUUUGGUUGUGAUCUUGUUUCAAUUUCUAUAGAUUGAUUUGUGAAUUCGUCUCAAGAUAUCUGAGUUUUGUAAUUGUUUUGUGUUCGAUUAAUUUUCAAUUAGGCUGCUAAUUUCGAUUUUUAUAGGGUUGUGAGUUUCUUAACCGUUCAUAUCUUGAUUUUGGUGUUGGUCUUAUCUUUAGGGUUUAUGCUUCGAAUUUGUUUUGAAGCUCAACUUCGCUUGGAAGCAUCAUCACGGUUGGCUGGAAGUUUCUCUUGUCACCGAGGUAAACUCUCCAUCUACGCUUGGUUUUAUGUUUUUUUUUCAGACCCAAAAGAUCGUUUAGCAGACAUUAAUCUCAUAGUGUUCCGUAAUAUUCUUAUUAGGUUGGUAGUGCGCAUAAGGAAAUGAAUGUUAUGAGAUGGAAAAAAUGACACACGGCUUAAAAGUUAAAAAAAUGUCUUUACAUAAAGACUAAGAAUCAGUUUUCCACUGCACACGGCUUAAGACAAAGACUUUAUUUUGCUACCCACGGCUUAGAACAACUAGAUGGAAAAAAUGUACCCACGGCUUUGAGCAUGUCUUUAGACAGAGACUAUAUUGCUUUUUGGAUGAUGGAAAUGUACCCACGGCUUUAAGCAUGUCUUUAGACAGAGACUAUGUUGCUUGUUGGAUGAAGGAAAGUAAGUACCCAUGGCUUUGAGCAGGUCUUUAGACAGAGACUGUUGGUUAUUGAAUGAAGGAAAGUACCCAAGGCUUUCAGCAGUCUUUAGACAGAGACUAUGUUGGUUAUUGAAUGAAGAAAUGUAUACCCACGGCUUUAAGCUUGUCUUUAGACAGAGACUAUGUUGCUUGUUGGAUGAAGAAAUGUAUACCCACGGCUUAAAGAUUGUCUUUAGACAGAGACUAUAUGGCUUGUUGGAUGAAGAAAAGUACCCACAGCUAUGAGCAUGUCUUUUAGACAGAGACUAUGUUGCUUGUUGGAUGAAGAAAAGUACCCACGGCUUUGAGCAGGUCUUUUAGACAGAGACUACGUUGCUUCUUGGAUGAAGAAAAGUAAAGAACCCACGGCUUUGGGCAGAUCUUUAGACAGAGACUAUGUUGCUUGUUGGAUGAAGAAAAGUAAAGUACACACGGCUUUGGGCAGGUCUUUAGACAGAGACAUGUUGCUUGUUGGAUGAGGAAAUGUACACAUGGCUUUGCGAAGAUGAAAAAAAAAACUAUUACGGCAUAGAGCAUUCUUGUGACAAAGACAAGAUGGCUCGAUUUUGAAUCGUUGGAUGGAAUAACGACCAACAUAUACAAAAAGUCUUUAAGACAAGGACUAUGAAAUUGAAAACUGACUCGUUUUAAUAAUACCCACGGCUUUGAUCAGGUCUUUAGACAAACCUUAUAGGUCGAUUUUGACUUGUUGGGUGGAAAAACUAAACCACACCACAGCUUUGAGCUGUCUUUUAGACAGAGACUAGUGGCUCAACUUUUAAGAUGAUGGCUAGAAUAAGUACACACCACACACCUUUGAGAGAUGAGUCAUUUUUUUGACUUGUUAGAUGAACAAAAAAGUACCCACAGCUUUGAGCAGUCAUAACACAAAGACAAGAUGGCUCUCAACUAUGACUUGUUGGCUGGAAUAACGACCAACAAAUUCAAAAACGUGGAAACAGAAUCCUUCACCAUAAUGAGGCUUAGACAAGUCUGUAGACAAAAACUGUAGAUCUGUUUUGACUUGUUGGAUGGGUAAAAACGAACAAUAGUCUAAAAAGAUCUUGUAACAAAGACUGAACUGAAAAUGGGUUAGUUUUGAAUGUGUUGGAUGGAAUGAUACGACCAACAGAUUAAAAAACUCUCAAAACAUAGACUAUAAAUUGAGAACACUAUCUUCGCUUGACCGCAAGGCUUACUAUAUGGAUUCGGUUUCACUUCGUUGGAUGGUAAGAAACGACCAACUGCUUUAAAAGGUUAUGACUUAAAAGACUGUAAAAUAAAAAGUUGGUUUUUUACUCUACUACAAGGCUUAAAAUAAAAGUCUCAAGACCAAGACUAUUAAUUGGUUUCUGCCUUGUUGGAUGGAUAAAACGACCAACAGGCUACAAAAGGAUACUUUACCCACCACAGCUUCAACGUCUUUAUACAAAGACUGUGUAUCGGUUUUGAUUUGUUGGAUGGAAGAUACGACCAACAAUUUCAAAAGACUAUGAAUCAAAGACUGAUUCUUAACUUUACCUACCACGGCUUUAAUAGGUAAGCAUGAGUGAAGCAAAGACUAACUAGUUCUUAUUUUUUCAGGUAUGUGCUAAUACAUUAAGAAGAUUUCAAUUGUAGCAGACUUUUGUGACAGGUAAGUACUUUUGAAGCUUGUUGUAAUUUAGUUGAUACAAUCAUGAGAUCACAAGUAGAAGAAAUAUAUAUAUAGUUAAGUAAAGACGAAUUCUGAUUUUCACAGGACAUUAUGUUUAAAUAAGGUUCCAAAUUCUUAUUUUGACAGCUUGAAGUAAAUACUAACUUUGAUUUUUUUCAGGUAUGUGGUUCAAAAGGUGUUCAUACAUUCUCUCAUGGUCGCACAUUAGAUUUCUAAGUUUAGCCAAACUGUGCGACCAGGUGUAUGCUUUUCUACACUUUCCUUUGAUAACUUGAUAUUAGUACAUAUGAAAAGUAAAAAACUAGAAAUACAUAUCUAAACAGAUUUAUAGUUAGGUACACACAUGUUUCUUAGAUAAUUUAUUGGACAACAUUACUAUCUUUGAUUUAGUAUCUAUCAGAUUACAAAAACUUAUUGUUAACAUAUCAAUUGUUAAAAAGUCAAAUUUAUUUACGGUAUUUUGAAUACCACAUUGUGUGUUUAUAGCGUUAGUAGUAUAUAUAUUUUCUCGGUUUUGAUGCUUGUGUGAUCAUAAGGUCUUUCAUAUCCUGAGUUGAUCUUUAUUAUAUUAUUCUUGAUCUAGUACCGUGACAGUAAUAUCUCUUCGAUUAGAACAAAAUAUUUUCUGGUUUGAUACUUUAUUUUGAAUGUAACUAAGACUCUUGUAGACUAUGGUAUACUUUAAUAGUUUCCUUGAAUCUUGAAUGUUUUUUUAUGUGUUAUGCUAUGAAUCCUUGGUGAGCAUUCUAAAGAUACGAAAUGACACCCUCACAAUCUUACAGUUAGUUAAUUGUUAGUCUUAGGAAUUAGGAUUAAGGCAUUCUGCAUCAUUACUUUAUACGUUGAUGAUUAUUGACUCCCUUGGUCUCACAGGCUUACAGAUUUUAUGGAACUUGGAAAUAUUGAAUCACUAGUGUUUUUAUUAGUCAAACGAGUUAAUGAGUUCUAUUGUGACGUAGGAACUAUUGGACUUUUUAAGUUUGAGAAACCCAAAAAUCUCAUUUUGCCUAUGAAAGAACAUCGACAUCUGCUUUCCGGCAAAGCCUUUGCCCAUCGCACACCAUCUGUUUUGUAACCUUCUUUUCUCAAGUUUUACAUUUUCUUCAUAUUAAUUAAUGACCCAACAUAGCCUUAACCUAGCCUGUGUUUUCAUCCUUUCUUCCCUAUCAAUAGCUUUCCGUCCCAGGUUUCUUAAAGCUCAAGUAAACUCGUUAACCUUAAGCAAAUCAAAGCAUCUUCGAGUUAAAGGAAGAGAUCUGGUUUACAAAGUCAAUGACCUUCCUUAGUUUCUCUACACUAAUUUCUUUGGGACUAGUUUAAAGAGAUUUUUUCAAAGCCAAAUAGAUUUUGCGUUUAUCUUGAGACUUCUUUCACUGAUCACAAACAUCACAUGAGAAAAGAGGAAACAAAAAGCGAGAAAGUUUUUGUUCACUUCUUUGAAGAAACCGUCGAUGAUGAUGAUGAUUCCGGCUCUUUCCAAGCCGCUUGCCAUUGUUUGUCAUAUAGCGUCGUCUCUUCGAUCAGACCCUUGAGUUUCUCCAAAUCUUCGUUCUUGCGGAU